UGGGGAAUAUUGGACAAUGGGCGAAAGCCUGAUCCAGCCAUGCCGCGUGUGUGAAGAAGGUCUUCGGAUUGUAAAGCACUUUAAGUUGGGAGGAAGGGCAUUAACCUAAUACGUUAGUGUUUUGACGUUACCGACAGAAUAAGCACCGGCUAACUCUGUGCCAGCAGCCGCGGUAAUACAGAGGGUGCAAGCGUUAAUCGGAAUUACUGGGCGUAAAGCGCGCGUAGGUGGUUUGUUAAGUUGGAUGUGAAAUCCCCGGGCUCAACCUGGGAACUGCAUUCAAAACUGACUGACUAGAGUAUGGUAGAGGGUGGUGGAAUCUCCUGUGUAGCGGUGAAAUGCGUAGAUAUAGGAAGGAACACCAGUGGCGAAGGCGACCACCUGGACUAAUACUGACACUGAGGUGCGAAAGCGUGGGGAGCAAACA
rnacentral:rRNA from 1 species